rnacentral:rRNA from 1 species
UACGUAGGGGGCAAGCGUUGUCCGGAUUCAUUGGGCGUAAAGAGCGUGUAGGCGGCCAGGUAGGUCGGUUGUGAAAACUGGAGGCUCAACCUUCAGAGGUCGACCGAAACCAUCUGGCUAGAGUCCGGGAGAGGAGAGUGGAAUUCCUGGUGUAGCGGUGAAAUGCGCAGAUAUCAGGAAGAACACCCGUGGCGAAAGCGGCUCUCUGGAACGGUACUGACGCUGAGACGCGAAAGCGUGGGGAGCGAAACAGG